ACUUGCUGUAGCUCAGUUGGUUAGAGUGCAGCACCGGAAUUGCAGGGCCGCGUGUUCGAUUCCUGCCAGAGGUG